UUAUUUGAGAGUUUGAUCCUGGCUCAGGAUGAACGCUGGCGGCGUGCCUAACACAUGCAAGUUGAGCGAUUUACUUCGGUAAAGAGCGGCGGACGGGUGAGUAACGCGUGGGUAACCUACCCUGUACACACGGAUAACAUACCGAAAGGUAUGCUAAUACGGGAUAAUAUAUUUGAGAGGCAUCUCUUGAAUAUCAAAGGUGAGCCAGUACAGGAUGGACCCGCGUCUGAUUAGCUAGUUGGUAAGGUAACGGCUUACCAAGGCGACGAUCAGUAGCCGACCUGAGAGGGUGAUCGGCCACAUUGGAACUGAGACAC
rnacentral:rRNA from 1 species